rnacentral:lncRNA from 1 species
UGGCAGCCUUGAAAUAUGCUAAUGAAUGGCUUCUACAUAAGAGAAGAAUGAUCUACUUGCACAACAGAAUGCGUGAAAAUUAAGUUAGAUUUAAUAGAUCUUAGAACAAAAAUAGAAUAAAACACAAACAACCUGGUCCAAUGUCUGGUAGUUAUCAUCCGUAAGGUCUCCAUGAAUUUGUACCACUUGACCUGCUAGUUCGAGACCUCCUUCUGCUACAACCCUUUGAGGAGAUGCAGAGGGCUACCGAUUUGGGGAAAUUAGGGGGAAAAUUAAGGGAAUCGGGGUAGGGGAGAAAUGCUUUGGGAAAAAUAA